rnacentral:lncRNA from 1 species
GCCGCAUGUGGUGAUUGACUUUUGUUGCUGAGAAAAAAGAAAUUGGGAGCCUCUGGAUAGUGUGUGUGUGUGUGCGUGCGAGCUAGCGUGGUUCUGGCAUCAUUGCAUCGCAUAUUUACAGAGAUCUCAUGGUCGACGGCGUUAUCUCAUUCUCCUUCUCCAAAUAUGGUAAUGGUAAUCCGUCUUGAAUGAAACUUUCGGUACGUGUUUCGCUGGAAUCUGGCCUUUGCUCUGCCUGUCCAUGUCGAAUCCAACAGUACGAGUAUGACAGAUCAGUACCCAGAUAAAGAUAUGCCGUUUAUUUGCACCUUUUCUCCGAUCCCCCCACUUCCUUCAUUCCUGUAGCGGGUGGCCAGCCAGUCGGAUAGAGGAUAGGAUAGAACCUGAAAGCCACACAAAUGCAUUGUGCAUUGUACAAUAUCACAAUCAUAUAUACUGGAGCGGAGUAGUACAUGAGAAUCAAUCGGAACUGUUGGUAUUUGUUCAU